CCGCGGGAUUAUGCCACAUGGUGUUGUCUUCAAGGCGCAAGUCGCCAGAAGAGGGAUCCGCGGCCGAUUAGCUUGUUGGCGAGGUAAUGGCUCACCAAGGCAAUGAUCGGUAGCCGGACUGAGAGGUUGGCCGGCCACACUGGAACUGAGACACGGUCCAGACUCCUACGGGAGGCAGCAGUGGGGAAUCUUGCACAAUGGACGAAAGUCUGAUGCAGCAACGCCGCGUGGGGGAUGAAGCUUUUCGGAGUGUAAACCCCUUUCGACCCGGAAGAAUGCCCGCAAGGGUUUGACGGUACGGGUAUAAGAAGCCCCGGCUAACUACGUGCCAGCAGCCGCGGUAAUACGUAGGGGGCCAGCGUUGCUCGGAAUUACUGGGCGUGAAGGGUCCGUAGGCGGUGUGGCAAGUCGGGAGUGAAAUCUCUGGGCUUAACCCAGAGGCUGCUUCCGAAACUGCCAUGCUAGAGUGUGAGAGAGGCGAGUGGAAUUACGGGUGUAGCGGUGAAAUGCGUAGAUAUCCGUAGGAACAUCCGAGGCGAAGGCGGCUCGCUGGAUCACAACUGACGCUGAGGGACGAAAGCUAGGGGAGCAAACAGGAUUAGAUACCCUGGUAGUCCUAGCCCUAAACCAUCAGGACUUGGGGUGUGCCCUGUACGGGGCACGUCCCGUAGCUAACGCGUUAAGUCCUGCGCCUGGGGAGUACGGUCGCAAGGCUGAAACUCAAAGGAAUUGACGGGGGCCCGCACAAGCGGUGGAACAUGUGGUUCAAUUCGACGCAACGCGAAGAACCUUACCUGGGCUUGAACCGCACAGGACCAUCUUUGGAAACAGAGACUUCCCGCAAGGGACCUGUGUAGAGGUGCUGCAUGGCUGUCGUCAGCUCGUGC
rnacentral:rRNA from 1 species